UUAAAUUGAAGAGUUUGAUCAUGGCUCAGAUUGAACGCUGGCGGCAGGCCUAACACAUGCAAGUCGAACGGUAACAGAAAUCAGCUU
rnacentral:rRNA from 1 species